CCUACGGGUGGCUGCAGUGGGGAAUAUUGGACAAUGGGGGCAACCCUGAUCCAGCCAUGCCGCGUGUGUGAAGAAGGCCCUCGGGUUGUAAAGCACUUUCAGUGAGGAAGAACGCCUGGUGGUUAAUACCCAUCAGGAAAGACAUCACUCACAGAAGAAGCACCGGCUAACUCCGUGCCAGCAGCCGCGGUAAUACGGAGGGUGCGAGCGUUAAUCGGAAUUACUGGGCGUAAAGCGCGCGUAGGUGGCUUGAUAAGCCGGUUGUGAAAGCCCCGGGCUCAACCUGGGAACGGCAUCCGGAACUGUCAAGCUAGAGUACAGGAGAGGAAGGUAGAAUUCCCGGUGUAGCGGUGAAAUGCGUAGAGAUCGGGAGGAAUACCAGUGGCGAAGGCGGCCUUCUGGACUGACACUGACACUGAGGUGCGAAAGCGUGGGUAGCAAACAGGAUUAGAUACCCGUGUAGUC
rnacentral:rRNA from 1 species